AAAAAAACCCUCUGUGAUUGGCCCGUUUAUCUAAAAAACAUGAUGACACUUGACAGUUAUGAUGUUUUUCACUUGUCAACACUUAGCGUUUUGCCGAGCAUACGUUACGUUGUUUCUGCGAUAUCUGGAUUGUCUUUAUUUUAUAAACCUUGCUUGCCCCUGGAUUUAUCUGCCUUCUGUGACGACUCUGACCCUUGCUUGCCCCUGGACUUAGUAUCUGCCUUCUACGACGACUUGUAUUUUGCUUACGGACAACGACUGCCUUACGAUUGUGAAUUAUUGUGAAAAUGGAAACGCAACGCACGCGCAUCUUGUGUGUAAAUUGCAACAUCUGCGUGAACACUCUUCGCCGAUAUCGGAUCCUUGACCAGAACACACGAUUAUGUUCUUUACUGUGCAUUUGGGUGUAUCCGCAAAUCAUAACUGAAGAUGACUAUGUUUGUGAAGCUUGUUGGGAGUUAGCAAUAGCUGCAGUUAAUGACAAUAUGCAGCAAAAC